AUCUGAUUGGAGAGUUUGACCCCACCAUGGAAGACAGCCACAAGAUCAUCUGUGGGAUUACAGACACUCUGAGACUUUACAAGGAAAUGUUUGAUGAGCUCAAGAAACAGCUGCAGCUGCCAAUCACAAUGUUUCUGACAAAGAAACCAUCACCAUCAGUGGAUGUGCACAGGCAAUCCUCCUCUGGAUCUUAACCACAGCCAAGAACGUGUUCUGGCUACCUGUCAAUCCCCACCUCCCACCUCGGUCCUCAUAUCAUUUGCAGCAAUUAUCCAGUGAGGGCGAGAAGGAGGAAAACCAGGAGGAAGACUGAGGGUUGCAUUUGCCCCUCACUGAAUGUACAUGAUGACACCAAGAGACCACAUAUCGCAGGAUUUGUCAUACUUCUCAGGACCAAGGACUUCUGGGGCUGAGUGGGAUGGGGAAGAGAACCAAAAGAACUGUGAAUGUCAGUUUCUCUUAUUUUGAUCACAAAUAUUUGCAUUUUU